GUUGUGCUCCCCCCACCCCCCGUGUCCGUGUCUCUCUCCGCGGCCGUCCAGCUCGGUUCAGUGGGGACAAACAGGCUGCAGACUGCGCCGCGCGUCCUGCGCCGCCGAUGAACCAGAUGCGUCAAGUUCAGCUGAGUUUCGACUCAGAUACCAGCACAGAAUGCAGCAGAUGGGAUGUGAAUGCAGGAUUACUCUGGGGGAUCAAGGGUCUGAUGACCACCACACACUCUUCAACCAAAACCCAAAAACAGUCAUAACAACAAUCACACAUGGCUUUGGUUCGAAUUUGCCUUCCGUCAGAUCAGAAGCUGGCAAAUCAAGCGUGUUCUGCUGUGGUCCUUGGUCCUGGAACGAUCUGCAGGCCCGGCUUGAACUUGAGACCCCUGUAUCUUUAAAUGAGUGGAGCCAGCUGCAGUUGCUACGCACAUGCCUAAAUAUUGUUGCCCGGUCUACGGACCGUGUUAUCAAAUGUAUUUUUGUAGUUACUGCUGCAUUUGAGCUCUGAUAUUGUUUGUGUCCUUGCCAUGUCCUUGAUGCCGCUAUUUUGACCCUCUCCUGGCUAAGACUCACGUGUAAAAGAGAUUUCAAUGUCACUGUGACUUCCUAAUUAAAUGAAGGUUAUAUGUA